UUUGCGUAUUUUAUUUUUCAUUUCCCUCUUAAUUACUUAAUGAAGACCCCAAUUAACCCUAACCUUCUCCACUCAAUAUUUCUCUCGCCCUCAAAUACCUGGAUCUGGCGCCGCUUUGCAUUUUUAACUCCACUACCAUCGGUUCUUAACCAUUCAUUUGCAAUCGCUUUCUCUCUCCAGUAAUGGGUUAUAUUUAUUAUGAGGAAUCCGCGAGACGAGGCCGUGCCAGUUCUAUCGGAAGGGAAAGAAGCAGGGCAGAUAUGUGAAUAAGAACUUAUGGAGAGGAAUUUUCAGUGAUUUCUCUAAUAGAGAAUGCAACCUUCAUAUGUAAAGGUACUAAAUGUUUGAUGGAGAUAAAAUUCUAAUUGCUCGGAACUUCCAGAUUCGAUUUAUGUUUGAAAGAAAUCCAAGUAUCAUAACAAGGAAGAACUGGUGGUUUGCGGGAUAAAUGCUUGGACUAGAAAAGUGCAGAAAGGUGAAAUCUACUGAAAAAACUUGAAGGUUGAAGAAGUUGAUUGUAUCUUGGCAUGCAUCCUACUGUGUUAAGAAGAUACUUCAGCAGGCUAAAUAUAAGACACUAAUACUAUUUGAAUGGCAUGUUUGAGAUAUACAAGUUGAUGGAAAAGGAAAUGAAGAUGCAAGAAUGAAGAAUAGAUGAAGAGAGAAGAUGUAAAUGAAGAAUAGGAUUGAAAUUACUAGUUUUGACUAUGUUUAUCUUUUUGAUUUGUUACUAUGAUUUUAACGAAAAUUUAAGACAAUAAUGGUUGAAUUUGUAUAUGUUCAA